AGUGUUGCGCUGAUACAAUGUUAAGCCUUAUGAAUCGAUUAUUCUUAUAUUAUUAACCGUAUUAAUCGUGGUAAAUUAUAAAAAUUGUUUCUAUUCUUCCAGAGAUCAGGAAGAUAUUCUCUCUCGUUACUUUGUUGAUAUAAGAUCACAGAACCGAAAAUAUAAGACGAAAUCGCGUAAGAAUAAGAGAAUAAAUAGACGAAUGGAACGGAGAAAAAUAAAACAGGGGCGUGUAACAAGAGAGAAAAGAAAAGAGAAGUAGAAAGAUCGAGACUCGAUUGUAUCGUUUAUUCCUGUGUUCAGGACAGCCGAUUAUUUCUCUCCUUGUACGGUGUCCUGGAGUCUUUAUUGUGACAGCGCCUUAUUGUCGUCCACUUCUGGAAAAUUGCGCGCCAUGAAUGCGCCUUUAAGAUCGCCGGGGUCAGUGGAUCUUCUGCCUUGAUCCUUCGGGAUCCCUUAUGCAGAGACUUCGUGAGAAGAUCGCCGGGAAUCGUCGCGACACCCAACACCGACGGGGAUUUUCUUUCUCGUGUUCGAUUUCGAAGACGUCGCUUUUAAAGCAGUUUUAAAGGACUUUUUCAGAUUUUUCAACGACAUUAUUUUAAUCCUUGCCAUCGAAAAUAUUGGUAACAGA
rnacentral:misc_RNA from 1 species